UACGGAGGGUGCGAGCGUUAAUCGGAAUUACUGGGCGUAAAGCGCACGUAGGCGGUCAGGCAAGUCGGGUGUGAAAGCCCUGGGCUCAACCUGGGAAUUGCAUUCGAAACUAUCUGACUCGAGUAUGGGAGAGGGAAGCGGAAUUUCCGGUGUAGCGGUGAAUUGCGUAGAUAUCGGAAGGAACACCAGUGGCGAAGGCGGCUUCCUGGACUAAUACUGACGCUGAGGUGCGAAAGCGUGGGGAGCAAACAGG
rnacentral:rRNA from 1 species